UGCCCCUGGUCAGAACAGCUGUUUUGCUCCAGAGGCAUUGUGGGUCUGUGUUGCUGUGGCGAUGCCUCCAGUUACGCCAGCUGUUCUACUUCUUGAUGUCAACAUCGCUACUGGCAACCACGAUGAAAACAACAUCAUUUUCAUCAACACAGUCACUGAAACGGAGAGGCCUUGACAGAGGUGAACUUCCUGUGACGACAGGAAAAGGGAGAGACGGAAACGGAGGAUGAGCCAACAUCUGUCGCCGGGGGCAACGGGUGCCAAAACCUCCCCAGCUACGCCCAAUCCAAACUAGAGAGCCUUGCCGUCAAAAAGCAAAGAGGAAGUUUGGCGCAGUCGCCAUGGUUACCUAGCAGUUAUCAGAGUCAGACUGCACUGACUGACCCUCGGAGGGAAGAACGGACCGUCCGCGGGAAGUUCACUUCCUGGGGAGCACAAUGGCUGUUGUUCCAGACAGGACGUGAUGUCAUCAUGAAGGACUUUGGGACAGGAAGGAGCUGAUGUGGGUGAAACUCAGCCUCUACUGUAAAGUGGAGGACGAAGCAUCGUAUCCAUCCAUUUUCUGAUCGACGUCAACAUUAUCAGGUCGUAUUGUGUAUUCAAAGUAAUCCUGUUUACAUUCAUUCACUGUGUGGACAAGAGGAACGAUCACAAUGAGAGGAAGGUUUAUGAAAAUGGCUUUGACAGUUUUGUAUGGUACCAAAAUGGCCAAUAUUAAAUAAAUAAAUGAAAUGAAGAAAUAAAAAAAUCAUGAAUACAUUUAAAA